GGGCCUUCUGGUGAUGUUUCUGGCCACCCAGGAGGUCCUUCGCAAGAGGUGGACGGCCAGAU
rfam:Japanese encephalitis virus gene for viral protein, complete cds.